AUGCAUGUGUGCGUGUGUGUGUGCAUGCGUGUGCUCCUCGUUGCAGGGGAUCUUCUCAGCACAGGAAUUACACGUCAUAACAAGAAUUUCACUCCAAUAGGUGAUCUCCACUUCCAAAGGCCCAUGCCACAGGUCACAUCACCUGUGCACACAUCACUCAGUGACAGGGACAGUGCCCACACAGGUGAUGGAGCCCAGUCCGCAGGUGCAGCCACGAGCCCCUUCUCUAGCUCCCCACUUCUGUCACCUCUCUCCCUCCAAGGCCCUGACUAAGCCAUCAGGUCCCCAUCUCUGUAGAGGUAGAUGGACAGCCUGCGUCUGUAGGUCUGUACAUUCUCCCUUUAGGUGCUGGGAUGACCAGGCGUGUGGUUAGAGCUCUGGCCCUCAGUGGUCUCCAGGGCCGCCCCGACUGGCUGUCAUGGUGCAAUACGAGGGGUGUCUCCGUUGACCUGGUUUGACCUUCUGGAGCCUCCGGUCUUCUGGUUUUCCAGCUGCACAUCUAAGAAUCAGGACACAAUCCCUGACUCUCGUGGAGGGUCGGGGCAGGCUCAGCCCAGGGAGAGUGUUUCCCUCCAGGCCGGUACCUCCAAAUCCCCAGCACCUGGUGAUACCAUUCCUUCUCCUCAAAGCAGGGAAUGUUCAAAGCACAAAGCCAGCAAGAUGUGCUCAUCUCAGCCAAAGAACUGAGUCCUCAUGGUGAAAGCCACAGGAAAUCUGACACUCACCUAAUAGUGUCGCCUGGAGGAAGAGUAUCAGAAAGUGGUUAAGGACAGAGCUGGCAAGUCCAUGUGACAGAAAAGCCCUGAAGUCCGCGUCUGUCUCCUGCAGGCACCUGUUCUGGGCCUUGGGUCUGUGGCAUUCCCGCCGCUCACAGCCGGCUUUGCCCUGGGACGGAGGCUUCGCGUCGUAAAUACUGCUCUUAGCAGGAUGCGUUACCUCCAAGAGGAAGGAGCCCGGUUUUCCAGAAAGAGAGUUUUUUUUUUUUUUUUUUUUUUUAAAGAUUUUAUUUAUUUAUUUGACAGACAGAGAUCACAAGUAGGCAGAGAGGCAGGCAGAGAGAGAGGAGGAAGCAGGCUCCCCGCAGAGCAGAGAGCCCGAUGCGGGGCUCGAUCCCAGGACCCUGAGUUCAUGACCUGAGCCGAAGGCAGCGGCUUUAACCCACUGAGCUACCAGACACCCCAGAAAGAGAGUUUUGAUCCUGGCAAUAAGGGUCUUUAAUGCAAGGAGCUGGGGCACGUGACCUUGAAGAGUUGCUCGCGUUUUAGGUUCUUGGGUUUUCAGUGGGACGGAUCGUGUCAUCUGGCACCCGCAUUGCUUUGUGUAAA